GAUGAACGCUAGCUACAGGCUUAACACAUGCAAGUCGAGGGGAAACGGCAUUAAGUGCUUGCACUUUUUGGACGUCGACCGGCGCACGGGUGAGUAACGCGUAUCCAACCCUCCCAUGACUAAGGGAUAACCUGCCGAAAGGCAGACUAAUACCUUAUGGUCUUCACUGACGGCAUCAGAUGUGAAGUAAAGAUUUAUCGGUUAUGGAUGGGGAUGCGUCUGAUUAGCUUGUUGGCGGGGUAACGGCCCACCAAGGCAACGAUCAGUAGGGGUUCUGAGAGGAAGGUCCCCCACAUUGGAACUGAGACACGGUCCAAACUCCUACGGGAGGCAGCAGUGAGGAAUAUUGGUCAAUGGGCGAGAGCCUGAACCAGCCAAGUAGCGUGCAGGAUGACGGCCCUAUGGGUUGUAAACUGCUUUUGUAUGGGGAUAAAGUCAAUCACGUGUGAUUGUUUGCAGGUACCAUACGAAUAAGGACCGGCUAAUUCCGUGCCAGCAGCCGCGGUAAUACGGAAGGUCCGGGCGUUAUCCGGAUUUAUUGGGUUUAAAGGGAGCGUAGGCUGGAGAUUAAGUGUGUUGUGAAAUGUAGACGCUCAACGUCUGACUUGCAGCGCAUACUGGUUUCCUUGAGUACGCACAACGUUGGCGGAAUUCGUCGUGUAGCGGUGAAAUGCUUAGAUAUGACGAAGAACUCCGAUUGCGAAGGCAGCUGACGGGAGCGCAACUGACGCUGAAGCUCGAAGGUGCGGGUAUCGAACAGG
rnacentral:rRNA from 1 species